rnacentral:rRNA from 1 species
CCGCACGGGUGAGUAACACGUAUCCAACCUGCCGUCUACUCUUGGACAGCCUUCUGAAAGGAAGAUUAAUACAAGAUGGCAUCAUGAGUCCGCAUGUUCACAUGAUUAAAGGUAUUCCGGUAGACGAUGGGGAUGCGUUCCAUUAGAUAGUAGGCGGGGUAACGGCCCACCUAGUCUUCGAUGGAUAGGGGUUCUGAGAGGAAGGUCCCCCACAUUGGAACUGAGACACGGUCCAA